CGGGGACGGCUAAGGGCUACGCAUAGGUCCUGGCAUUUAAUAAACUUCGAUAAAUGUCAGCGAGGCUGAUCGUUGAAGAAUUUGAUGAAAGCCCCGGACCCAGCAGUUGGCUGGUUCGGGGAUCCAAACCCUUGACCUUAGUAUUACCAACACCACCCUCUAACCAGGUGUGGAAACCGAGGCUCAGUGAGUAGAAGCUGCAGCUGUGACUAAAGGAGUCAGGCUGGAAGAGGAGGCUGUCUUGUGUUCAAGCUUCUCAAAAGAGCUUGUCCUCCCUCACUGUUUGCCAUGUGGUCACCCUGGCCUUCCUGGAGCUUCUCAGACCUCUAGGUCUACCGCAGUCCCUGGCCUGGGAAGCUGUCCCAUCUUACCACUGACACUGAAAUGGAGUGUGAGGUGCAAGAUGGAUAUUAGGGAUCAAUUCCUGCAAGAGGAAGUGGGAGGAAGCAGGAUUGGCCAGAGAUAGAUGAACUGUGUGUGAUGCAGUCCUGACAUAGCCUCAGCCAAUCUGCUGGGGAAGCCCUGGAGCAAUGGAAAUGAUCGGAUUCUCAUACCUCGCCUUGUUCGGUCACUGAAUCUAUGCUUCUCCAGUACAGUUAGACUGCUAGCUCAGGGAAAGCACAUCUCCAUGUCUGCCAGUACUGCUGUCCCUUAUGCUUCCAGGCUUGGGUGUGUGAGUAUAUGUGUGUGUGCAGCUCACCAGCCACUUCAUCUGGGAAACCUUUCCUCAGACCUCCGAGCUCUCAUAAAACCCCAUCCUUCUUCUCCUCACCAGUUAUCACAAUUUGUAAUCACAUGUUUGUGUGUGAUUAUCUGAUUGAUAUCGGCCUUCCCUAAGAAACUAUACGUUCUAUGCAGGCAGGGACAGUCUAUUUGACUCGUAGUCCCAGAACUUAG